rnacentral:rRNA from 1 species
UACGGAGGGUGCAAGCAUUAAUCGGAUUUACUGGGCGUAAAGGGCGCGUAGGCGGAGAGAUAAGUCAGACGUGAAAUUUCGGUGCUCAACACCGAAGCUGCGUUUGAAACUAUUUUUCUAGAGGAUGGACGGAGAAAACGGAAUUCCACGUGUAGCGGUGAAAUGCGUAGAUAUGUAGAAGAACACCUGUGGCGAAAGCGGUUUUCUAGUUUAGACCUGACGCUGAGGCGCGAGAGCAAGGGGAGCAAACAGG